GCGGUUAAACCAAGAAAGUUAAGUCAUAUUAUAACGGUAAAAAGAUAGUUAAAUAAUUAAAAAGUUUAUUUAAUAUUUAUAAAGAGGUAGAAUUCUAAUAUAGGUAUAAAAUUUAAUUAUAACUUAAGUAUUGAAGCUAUGGCAGCCUUGAGGGAAACUGGGAUUAGAUACCCCAUUAUUCUUGGUCACAAAUAAAUUUAAAUUAAUUUACCAGAGUACUAUGAACUAUAAAAAUUUAAAACUCAAAGAGCUUGGCGGUGUUUUAGACCCUUCAGGGGAACCUGUCUCGUAAUCGACAAUCCACGUUAAACCUAACCUUUAUUUGCUUCCAGUCUGUAUACCGUCGUCGUCAGGUAACUUUUAAAAAUUUAGAAGUUAGCAAUGAAAACUUAUGUAAGUUUAAACGUCAGAUCAAGGUGCAACCUAUAUAAAGGUGAGGAUGGGUUACAAUUAUUAAGUUAUAAUAACGAAGUAUUUAUUUGAAUAAAUAAAUAUAAGGAGGACUUGAAAGUAAACUGAAUUAUAUAAAUAUUUUGAAUAAGGCUCUGAAACGUGCACACAUCGCC
rnacentral:rRNA from 1 species